rnacentral:rRNA from 1 species
CAGAGGGGGCAAGCGUUGUUCGGAAUUAUUGGGCGUAAAGGGUGCGUAGGCGGUGCGGUAAGUCUUCUGUGAAAUCUCCGGGCUCAACUCGGAGCCUGCAGGAGAAACUGCCGUGCUUGAGUAUGGGAGAGGUGAGUGGAAUUCCUGGUGUAGCGGUGAAAUGCGUAGAUAUCAGGAGGAACACCUGUGGCGAAAGCGGCUCACUGGACCAUAACUGACGCUGAGGCACGAAAGCUAGGGGAGCAAACAGGAUUAGAUACCCUGGUAGUCCUAGCCCUAAACGAUGAUUGCUUGGUGUAGCAGGUACCCAAUCCUGCUGUGCCGCAGCUAACGCGUUAAGCAAUCCGCCUGGGGAGUACGGUCGCAAGGCUG